UUUAUUGGAGAGUUUGAUCCUGGCUCAGGAUGAACGCUGGCGGCGUGCCUAAUACAUGCAAGUCGAGCGAACGGAUUAAGAGCUUGCUCUUAUGAAGUUAGCGGCGGACGGGUGAGUAACACGUGGGUAAUCUGCCCAUAAGACUGGGAUAACUCCGGGAAACCGGGGCUAAUACCGGAUAACAUUUUGAACCGCAUGGUUCGAAAUUGAAAGGCGGCUUCGGCUGUCACUUAUGGAUGGACCCGCGUCGCAUUAGCUAGUUGGUGAGGUAACGGCUCACCAAGGCAACGAUGCGUAGCCGACCUGAGAGGGUGAUCGGCCACACUGGGACUGAGACACGGCCCAGACUCCUACGGGAGGCAGCAGUAGGGAAUCUUCCGCAAUGGACGAAAGUCUGACGGAGCAACGCCGCGUGAGUGAUGAAGGCUUUCGGGUCGUAAAACUCUGUUGUUAGGGAAGAACAAGUGCUAGUUGAAUAAGCUGGCACCUUGACGGUACCUAACCAGAAAGCCACGGCUAACUACGUGCCAGCAGCCGCGGUAAUACGUAGGUGGCAAGCGUU
rnacentral:rRNA from 1 species